AGCAGCCGCGGUAAUUCCAGCUCCAAUAGCGUAUAUUAAAGUUGUUGCAGUUAAAAAGCUCGUAGUUGAAUUUCGGGGUUAGUAGGUUGGUCAUGCCUCUGGUAUGUACUGGUCUCACUGAUUCCUCCUUCCUGAUGAGCCGUAAUGCCAUUAAUUUGGUGUUGCGGGGAAUUUGGACUGUUACUUUGAAAAAUUAGAGUGUUUAAAGCAAGCUAACGCUUGAAUACAUUAGCAUGGAAUAAUGAAAUAGGACGUCCGAUCCUAUUUUGUUGGUUUCUAGGAUUGACGUAAUGAUUAAUAGGGAUAGUUGGGGGCAUUAGUAUUCAAUUGUCAGAGGUGAAAUUCUUGGAUUUAUUGAAGACUAACUACUGCGAAAGCAUUUGCCAAGGAUGUUUUCAUUAAUCAAGAACGAAAGUUAGGGGAUCGAAGACGAUCAGAUACCGUCGUAGUCUUAACCAUAAACUAUGCCGACUAGGGAUCGGAUGAUGUUAAUUUUUAAUGACUCAUUCGGCGCCUUAAC
rnacentral:misc_RNA from 1 species